rnacentral:rRNA from 1 species
UACAGAGGGUGCAAGCGUUGUUCGGAAUUAUUGGGCGUAAAGCGCGUGUAGGCGGCUUUGCAAGUCGGGUGUGAAAUCCCUCAGCUUAACUGAGGAAGUGCGCCCGAAACUGCUUUGCUUGAGUGCCGGAGAGGAUGGCGGAAUUCCCCAAGUAGAGGUGAAAUUCGUAGAUAUGGGGAGGAACACCGGUGGCGAAGGCGGCCAUCUGGACGGUAACUGACGCUGAGACGCGAAAGCGUGGGGAGCAAACAGGG